UAUCACCUUUGAGUCGUUCAAAAUAUGUGACAUAAUUUGUUGAUAAAUAAAUAGUUACUUCUUAAGUUUACUCUAAUAAUUAAAUUAUUUAACUUUGGACAUUAAGCUGGCGACUUCAGUGAAUUCGUGUUUAUAAUCUAAUAAUAUUACUUGCGAUACAAACGUUUAUGAGCGAACGACGAGUUGCUGUACCAAGUUUUUAAGUUAAGUGCUUUCGGACGAUAAGUGGAUCAUUCACCAAUCGUGCCUAUUAAAUUUAUCUUUUUCCGCUCAAUCUUAAAGUCAUUGUUUGAUUAUUUUUAUUUGUAAAAACAGUACAUUUUUUUUAUACGCCUUAUCAUUUAUCGACGAAAAAUUUGAAUUACCUACUCUGAUUGCUUAACAGUUUGUCAACAUUCCACUGACAACAUAAUAUUAUAUUGUUAGUACUUAGUAGUUAUCAUGUAGAAAACGCCACUCUACAGUAGUCCUUUUUUUCUUUUUAAGUAUGGACUCGAUCGUCUCUAACAGUAGCGGGUAUGAUCAAUCCGUUGACUGGGUACCAUUGUCUCUGACGUUUGUUGAAUAUCCAAAGGGGAAUAUAUUUGGAAAAUUAUUGGCGUUGUUUAGUUUGACACCUUUCGUGAUUCUGUCUGGUUUUAUUUCUUUGAUUCUAUUUCGUCGAGAUUUACAUACAAUCACUUUUUUCAUUGGAGUAUUACUCAAUGAAAUAUGCAAUACAGUUCUUAAACAUAUAUUACGUGAACCUAGACCCUUAGCUAGAAAUACAAAUUUGUUGUACUCUGAAUAUGGCAUGCCUUCAUCUCAUUCUCAAUUUAUGUGGUUUUUUGCAUCAUACAUGUUAUACUUCACAUUUAUAAGGUUACAGUAUGCUAACAACAAGGCAUUUAAAGAGUUUUUCUGGAAAGUUGCUGGAGCAGCAUCAUGCAUUGCUAUUGCCUGUAUAGUUUCUUAUAGCAGAAUCUUUCUACAAUAUCAUACAUGGAAGCAAGUAAUAUAUGGUGCACUAUUUGGUAUUAUUAUAGGAACUAUUUGGUUUACCAUAAUUAAUGUGGUAUUGACUCCAUAUUUUCCAACAGUUAUUUCUUGACAUCCUCAGUAUGUUCAAUCUGGAGUAUGGAUUCUACUACUGUGUCCAACAUUAGUUUAAUUUAUUAUAAUUAUUAAUUUGCUUUGGCCUUGAGACUUGAGUUCUAUAAAGUGCUAAAAUAAUUUUUGUUUGUUUUGCUUUGAAAUACUUCACGUAUUUACAUCUUCAUCAGCACAUAUUGUGAUAUCAUAUUUAUUUCAAUGAUACGUUUAAAAAUUAAAUGUACCAUAAUCUACCAUUCAAAAAUGUGUCUAAUGUCUAAUUAUUUUGUCGCCUAAUUUUACUGUUAAAUAAUAUAAACAUAAUGCAUACUAUACUCCGUUCCAUAUAAGAGCGCACCACCUUGGCGCCUCCAAAUGAAUCGCGGAGCGACGUCCGGACCUACAGGCUGAGUCUAUUUGCUCUGCUAUUGGUUGUCGCUGCCGACGACGCUGUGGUAAACAGGGAAUCACCAAGUGUAGUGGGGAGAGAUGCGAAAAUAUCAGAACUAUUUUUGUUGAGAGACACUACGUUAAUUCCCAAUGUCUUAUGGUUUGAAUACACAAAUAUUCGUCAUGAAGCAGGAGCUAGAGCCAGACGUAGAAAAUC